ensembl:lncRNA
UGUAGGCAUGACUCCAUACUGGACCAUUUGCUGAAUUCCAUCGGUACUGUAAAAUAUAAUGAGGUCCAAAAAUUACUCCUUCGAAUCUGGGAUGGUUUUCACACCAGUAUGGGUAAAAUGGUAGAGCAAGCAUCACACUGAACAUUCUCUCUCACGCAGAUAAAAAGUUUGAGACAUUUUGGAAAAUUGGGCCAAGUUAAAAAUAAAUUGCGUGACACUAGAGUUGAGAUUAGUUUAAGCAGAUAGGUCUAGUUUAUGGUCCUGAUUCAUGGAUGGUUUAUAACUUAUACAAACUUAAAGACACCUGCAAAAAUGUUGUAAGCUGAUGCACUAACAGGGUCUACAGAGGUUUCUGUCAUUCAAAUUGGGGAAUUUCUACCUAAGAAUACAAAAUACAGGGUGGUCUCAAUUCAUAUAAAUUACUUUAGCACUCAAGGUGUGUUUUACGCAGCCUGAAAAUCACUUUAGGAAUGGUGGUUGUGUGUGUGCAAAUGAAUACUACCAACAGCCACACAGCAUGUAUAAAUUUGUGUAAACCUUUCUGCCAUUUGAAGGAAUAAAACAACCAUUCUGUUCUCGAAAUUGUGAGAAACUUUCACAAAAUCUCCAAAGCAAAAUAGAUGAAAUCUAAUAUCAAAUCUUCUGAAAAGUUCCGUAUUAUAUUUCCCCACAGGUUCACACCUCAACUGCCGACAGGUUUCAAAGGGCCUGUGAAAUGGUUCCCUUGUGAACAGAACACACAUUUAUGUCUCAAACCGGUUUUAUUUAUUGUUUUGUUUUGUAUUCAUGUUGUACUGUAUUUCGAACAGCUUGGCUAGGUGUAUCAUAUGCCUGUAUUAUAUGCCUUCAUGACAUAUAAUUAUCUUAAGUGUGGGACUUUUUAGAUGUGGGACAUUUCUAAGAGAGCUUUUUCAGAUCCAUACUUGUCACUGCUAUUAAGAACAAUUAGCACAUGCACACACAAAAAAAAAAAAUAAAUAAAAAAAAAAAACCAUUUAAAUAUUGUUCCCUCUACCUGCCUUCCAGUUAUUCGUAAUAAAUCACAUGCAAUACACCCACUAUCUGUAGGGGCAAUUAGUAAGUGUGUUGCAGAUUAGUACUCUUUACUCAGGUUCGUAGUAUUUUAGGAACUAGGUGUAUAUUUUACACAGACGCUUACAAUGUAAAGGGUGUUCUUGAAAAUCAAGUCUGAAAAUACAUUUUUACAUUUGUAAAUUGUUUAGAAAAGCCCUGAACAGAUGUGGAUCAGGCAAAUGAUUACUUUGAGUGGACUGACCCUGAUUAGUAGUUAGACAUUUUAACUGUUCCAAAUUAUAGGCUCAAUGUUCCAGAUAAUUUUGCCAACUGGUAAUUGACACUACCUUUUGACAGAUGUAUCAUGUCUGCAACCUUUUGUAUUCCUCAACACACCUUAUUCAGACUUAACAUGUCUGCUGAAUAGCGACAAUAUGAACCACGCAUAAAACUGCCGAACUACAGCAAGAGCAUUAGCAAAACUGUAUAGCUUUGAUUCGUCAGUCUUUGUGUGCAUUUGUAAAACUACAACACCUGCUUCCUCAGAGCCAGAGGCACUUGACAGCAUGAUUGGUGCACUUAUAUUUUGACAUAAUCUUUGAAUGAAAGAAAGUGACACGAGGUGGAAAAGGCAAGUUGAAUGCAAUACAAUAGUGUUUUGUGAGGGCUGUUAUUUGCGCUUUUUUUUUUUCAGUUGCACCUUCUUUUCCUGAUAGCAUGUUCAUGCAGCUUUGAUCCGGUGACUCUACUCAUCGUAUUUUAGCCCUGCAACACUAGGCUGUAACUUGAAAAGGCAUUUCAUGGACGUGGGUUUACGCGCCAUAUAAGACUGUGUUAAAUAAAUGUGGAGAUACCGGUGCCAAGUCAUUGAUGAUUGUCCCUCCUGGCACUGGCUGCCAAAAAAAGUCUUCGCAGUCUUCGAGUCUUAAGCUGCAGAUCACUGCAAGUGUUAAUCUUCUUAUACUUAAGGUAUCAGGUUUGCCUUUGAUGUCUCUAAACGUGUUGAUCUUGCCCGAGAAGGGAAUCCAGACAUAGCUGUGAGCGAGACAGAUGCUUUUAUUUUGUCUGACUUGGGCGUUUUGAGAAUUCCUACCUUAGUCAUUGUUGCUAAAAAAAUAAAAUAAAUAAAUACACUGAUUUGUCUUUUAUGGUUUUUUUUCAGCAUAUAGCAAAUCUGAAACUAUUUGGCCAUGUUUACAUUUACACAUAGACUUUUGUCCCGGUGGCUUGACCAAGCAUGUUUCUAUUGUAUUUCGUUGAAAGGGAGUGGCAAACCUGUUUUUGUGAUCUACAUACAUUUUGCCACAUGCUUGCAAUCAUUAAUGCAUCAGAGCUUGUUGAAGCAAUGUCAGAACAACCCCCAAACAAGUCUCCAGGCCCUACUACAGUUAUUUUGCAUUGUUUUUGUGCUUGUCCUCAUGGAAAUGUACUGUAAUGAUAUGUUGGAGACUGAUUAAAUAGCUGAUUAAAUACCUGGCAGAUGCGUUGAAAUCAGAUCACCACAUUGAUUGAUUGAUUGAUUGAUUGAUUGAAAACACAAAUGUACUCAUGUUUUCCAUAUCUCCUUUUAAAGUCGGAGAAUGUGUGUUUAGAUGUGAGGUUAUCUGAGGGCUUGACGGAGCGUGGAGUCUUUCCCCCAGGGCUGCAGGUGGAUGUGGAGCAGGAUACAGGCCCUGUUGCUGGGAGUGACAGGCGCAGAAUAGCUGCAGGUAAACAGGGUCACGGGGAGCCUGUAGUCUAUCCCAGGGCACUUGGCGCACAAGUUGGAGGACACCCUGGGUGGGGUGCCAACCCAUUGCAGGACACAAUCAAAUGCACUAACACUACAGACAAUUUGGAAAUUCCAAUCAGCCUACAACGCAUGCAAACUCCAUGCACACUGGUCGAAGGUUAAAAUAGCACCCUCAACCCUGGAGGUUGUGCUAACAACUAAGCCACCAUGGCCACCUUCAUCCAUCGUCACUAAACACUUUAUCCUGGUCAAGAUCACGGUGAUCCGAAUUAAAUCCUAAGAACACUGGCUGCAAGACGGGAGAAUUCACGUCAAAUGCAACACAAGUCUCAUACCCGUACACUCACUCAAACAUAUAGGCAGUUUAGCAUAUCUAAUAUGCCUACCUACAUGUUUCUGGACAGUGGGAGGAAACUCAAAACCAAGAACAACACAAUCAUAGUGAGAAUGGUAGCUCAACUAAUUUUCUGUUGAGGGUGUAGAAAUCAAGAGACUAUGUAUAGUAUCUUUAAUGUAAUGUCUUGAGUAUGCAAAAGCUUUAGUGUUAGUUUAAGUAUUUGGUCUUGUUAGAGAAAAAGACACGGAGAGAAAGUGAGACUCUUCUGCGCCAUGAUCAUUGUGGUUGAGAAAAAUGGAGCCAAGCCUCCUAAAGCAUGAAAACCUUUUUCCCGUCAAACCACCGUGACUGAGUCAAUUAGGCCCCAUCCGCAGCACAACAAUCUUAUUUCCCGAAGAUAUUUGGGGCGUUUAAUUCUUAAACAAUAUUGCCUGCCGCUCUGUGCCUCACUCUUUAUUGCCUUCUCCGUUUUAUUGCUCUUCCCCAAGUCAUUAGAGUAAAGUAAAUGAGUGGUGUAGCAAGCGCCGCCACUGAACACAUUACCGUACACUAUCUUUAAUUAUUUCCACGGCUGCUUUUAUUGUGUGCCUUCACCCAUUAAGAUCAUGAGAAAAGAUGAGCACAGGAGCAUGUUCUUACACACAUGAGUACUGUAUGUGGUGGGGUGGGGUUUAAUAGACCAGGCGGCAACAUGUGGUAGUCGGAUGUAUAAUCAUGAAAGAAUGGUUUGUGUGUUUUCAGUUAAAUCUGGUUACUUUUAUAUAAAAAUGAAAGAGAUUAUAGCCUUAGCUUAUACUCAAGCAGUUUAAUAAUAAUAAAGGUUUAGGUUUUUUUUUUUUUUUUUUUUUUUGUAGGAAAUUUUGCUGAGUGUUAGUACCAAAGGUUGGUUCUUUG